CCUACGGGAGGCAGCAGUGGGGAAUAUUGGACAAUGGGCGAAAGCCUGAUCCAGCCAUGCCGCGUGUGUGAAGAAGGCCUUCGGGUUGUAAAGCACUUUCAGUGGGGAAGAAAGCCUUGGGGCUAAUACCCUCGAGGAAGGACAUCACCCACAGAAGAAGCACCGGCUAACUCCGUGCCAGCAGCCGCGGUAAUACGGAGGGUGCGAGCGUUAAUCGGAAUUACUAGGCGUAAAGCGCGCGUAGGCGGUCUGAUAAGCCGGUUGUGAAAGCCCCGGGCUCAACCUGGGAACGGCAUCCGGAACUGUCAGGCUAGAGUGCAGGAGAGGAAGGUAGAAUUCCCGGUGUAGCGGUGAAAUGCGUAGAGAUCGGGAGGAAUACCAGUGGCGAAGGCGGCCUUCUGGACUGACACUGACGCUGAGGUGCGAAAGCGUGGGUAGCAAACAGGAUUAGAUACCCCGGUAGUC
rnacentral:rRNA from 1 species